rnacentral:rRNA from 1 species
AUUGAACGCUGGCGGCAGGCCUAACACAUGCAAGUCGAGCGGAUGAAGGGAGCUUGCUCCUGGAUUCAGCGGCGGACGGGUGAGUAAUGCCUAGGAAUCUGCCUGGUAGUGGGGGAUAACGUCCGGAAACGGGCGCUAAUACCGCAUACGUCCUGAGGGAGAAAGUGGGGGAUUUUGGAACCCCACGCUAUCAGAUGAGCCUAGGUCGGAUUACCUAUUUGGUGGGGUAAAGGCCUACCAAGGCGACGAUCCGUAACUGGUCUGAGAGGAUGAUCAGUCACACUGGAACUGAGACACGGUCCAGACUCCUACGGGAGGCAGCAGUGGGGAAUAUUGGACAAUGGGCGAAAGCCUGAUCCAGCCAUGCCGCGUGUGUGAAGAAGGUCUUCGGAUUGUAAAGCACUUUAAGUUGGGAGGAAGGGCAGUAAGUUAAUACCUUGCUGUUUUGACGUUACCAACAGAAUAAGCACCGGCUAACUUCGUG